rnacentral:tRNA from 1 species
ACUAUUUUGGCAGACAAUUGUAAUGGUUUUAGAAGUCAUAUAUAUAUAUAUAUUUAUUUAUUAUAUAAAUAGUA